GGGGAUGAUCGGUUUCGACAUUGCCUGCAAAACUGCGAGAAGCGGGUCGAGGAUGCAGUCUUAUCUCGUAAACGAUGGCUGCAAACAAUAAGUGCCGAUAAAAACCGCACUGACUUCGCCCUCGCUGCCUAAGCGAGCGCACUAAAGAAGUCCGUCAGACCGAGGAUGCUCUCUACUCGGACCCUGGCGUAAUUUAGAGAGAUUGCUGCGUAGUUACGCCUGAGGGCUGCGUGGGACGUGAACCAGGGCUGGGCUUGUUGACCUGGAUGCUUGUGGCAAAGGUCAGAGCCAAGUAGAACGCCUUCACAAGCUACGCCCGUAGAAGGCGCAGAAUUACAGCAGUGGACCGGGGUUCAAUUCCCCGCAUCUCCACCA
rnacentral:tmRNA from 1 species